rnacentral:lncRNA from 1 species
UGUUAGUUUCCACAAUUCAGAAGUUAAAUGCCUACUCUUCGCAGAUGACCUAUGCCUGCUGUCACCCACAGCACCUGGCCUACAGCAGAGCCUGGACCUGCUAGAGCAGUACUGCCAGACCUGGGCCCUGGCAGUAAACCCCAAAAAGACUAAAAUAAUGAUUUUCCAGAGAAGAUCCAGAUCUCAGGGAAUUAGACCAAAGUUCUCAAUUGGUACAAAAUAUAUAGAGUACUGUACACACUACAAUUACUUAGGUUUAAAAAUAAGCUCAACUGGACACCUUAAUGAGGCAGUGAAUGAACUGAGAGAGAAAGCACGCAGGGCAUUCUACGCCAUUAAAAAGCAAAUUCAAAUUGAAAUACCUAUUAAAAUUUGGCUAAAACUAAUUGAAUAUGUCAUUGAACCAAUUGCACUUUAUGGCAGCGAGGUGUGGGGUCCACUUGCAAAACAAGAUUUCAUCAAAUGGGACAAACACCCCAUUGAAACCCUACAUGCAGAGUUCUGUAAGAUUCUCCUACGUGUCCAGAGGAAAACUACAAACAAUGCAUGCAGGGCAGAAUUAGGCCAAUAUCCACUAAUAAUAAAAACUCAAAAAAGAGCAAUUAAGUUUUGGAAACAUCUAAAAUACAGUGACCCCCUCUCAUAUCAUUACCAAGCCCUGCAAUGCCAAGAGCUGAGCAAAGAAAAGAGUCCCCUCAUCCAGCUGGUCCUGGGGCUGAGUUCACAAACCUGUUCUACUAACACACUGAAGCCUCAGGACCAGAACAUCCAAUCAAUCAGAAUAAACCAAAUUACAACACAGUCAAAACAAAACUACAUUGCUUAUUGGGAAACACAAGCACAAACACAAAGCAAAAUGCAGUGCUAUCUGGCCCUAAAUCGACAGUACACUAUGGCUAAAUAUUUGACCAUGGUUACUGAUCAAAACCUUAGAAAAACCUUGACAAAGUACAGGCUCAGUGAGCACAGCCUUGCCAUUGAGAAGGGUAGACACAGGAAAACCUGGCUCCCUGUAGAGGAAAGGCUGUGCGACCACUGCACAACAGCAGAACCUGAGACGGAGC